GGGUGGGGCGUUCGGGCAAGGAUCGGAGAUUCCGCCGGAGGCCUCCGAGUGUCCCCGGAAAGCUGCGCCGGAGCCAUCCGGGUCCCCACCGCACUGGGCUGCUGGAGGAUGAAUGACAAGUGUACAGUGGCGGUGGCGGCGCACGGUUGGCAAGGGCUGGACCAACCAAAAAAAAGCUUUGCUCUGCCACACCUUUCCACCAUGAUGUUCCUGCCUUGGAGCCAUCUGACUAUGGACUAAAUCCCCUGAAACUCCUUUGAAGUAGGGGUCAUUUGAAGGUUUCAAAGAGAGUCAUAAGAAAUUUCCGUCCCCUGGCUCUGGAAAGUGA
ensembl:lncRNA